UGUGUAGGCGGGAGUCUAAGUCAGUGGUGAAAUCUCACAGCUCAACUGUGAAACUGCCAUUGAAACUGGAUUUCUUGAGUAUAGUUGAGGUAGGCGGAAUGUGUAAUGUAGCGGUGAAAUGCUUAGAUAUUACACAGAACACCGAUUGCGAAGGCAGCUUACUAAGCUAUUACUGACGCUGAUGCACGAAAGCGUGGGGAGCGAACAGGAUUAGAUACCCUGUAGUCC
rnacentral:rRNA from 1 species